rnacentral:rRNA from 1 species
ACGCUCGACACCUACGGGAGCAGCAGUGGGGAAUAUUGCACAAUGGGGGAAACCCUGAUGCAGCAACGCCGCGUGAGUGAAGAAGUAUUUCGGUAUGUAAAGCUCUAUCAGCAGGGAAGAUAAUGACGGUACCUGACUAAGAAGCUCCGGCUAAAUACGUGCCAGCAGCCGCGGUAAUCUGAGGCGGGCGUGGACGAAGGC